rnacentral:rRNA from 1 species
AUUGAACGCUGGCGGCAGGCCUAACACAUGCACGUCGAACGAGUGGCGGACGGGUGAGUAAUGUCUGGGAAACUGCCUGAUGGAGGGGGAUAACUACUGGAAACGGUAGCUAAUACCGCAUACCAUCAUAUGUGCCCAGAUGGGAUUAGCUAGUAGGUGGGGUAAUGGCUCACCUGGGCGACGAUCCCUAGCUGGUCUGAGAGGAUGACCGGCGCGUCUGGAACGGAGACACGGCCCAGACUUCGACGGGGGGUAGCAUUGGGGAACAUUGGACAAUGGGGGCAAGCCUGAUUCUGCCAUGCUGAUUGUGUUAAGAUGGCCUGAGGGUUGUAUAGCACUUUCAGCGGGGAGGCGUUACCCGCAGAAGAAGCACCGGCUUACCACGUGCCAGCAGCCGCGGUAAUAC